rnacentral:sRNA from 1 species
GCCGGGCGUGAUGGCUCACGCCUGUAAUCCCAACACUUUGGGAGGCUGAGGUGGGUGGAUCACUUGAGGUCAGGAGUUCAAGACCAGCCUGAUCGAUAUGGUGAAACCCUGUCUCUA